rfam:Rattus norvegicus chromosome 5, whole genome shotgun sequence.
GGGGAUUUAGCUCAGUGGUAGAGUGCUUGCCUAGCAAGCGCAAGGCCCUGGGUUCGAUCCCCAGCUCUG